GAUGAACGCUGGCGGCGUGCCUAAUACAUGCCAGUCGAGCGAACGGACGAGAAGCUUACUUCUCUGAUGUUAGCGGCGGACGGGUGAGUAACACGUGGAUAACCUACCUAUAAGACUGGGAUAACUUCGGGAAACCGGAGCUAAUACCGGAUAAUAUUUUGAACCGCAUGGUUCAAAAGUGAAAGACGGUCUUGCUGUCACUUAUAGAUGGAUCCGCGCUGCAUUAGCUAGUUGGUAAGGUAACGGCUUACCAAGGCAACGAUGCAUAGCCGACCUGAGAGGGUGAUCGGCCACACUGGAACUGAGACACGGUCCAGACUCCUACGGGAGGCAGCAGUAGGGAAUCUUCCGCAAUGGGCGAAAGCCUGACGGAGCAACGCCGCGUGAGUGAUGAAGGUCUUCGGAUCGUAAAACUCUGUUAUUAGGGAAGAACAUAUGUGUAAGUAACUGUGCACAUCUUGACGGUACCUAAUCAGAAAGCCACGGCUAACUACGUG
rnacentral:rRNA from 1 species